CCGAACUGGGAAGGGCCAUAUGAGGUGAUCGAAGUACCAAAGCCAGGGACUUAUCGUUUAAAAGCAUUAGAUGGAUCCGAGAUCAAGAACACUUGGCAUGCAGGCAGGCUUCGAAAAUAUUUCUAGUAGAGAUCGAGUCAGUUUACCAAGAAGUCUGUACAUGAUUGUUCACCAUCUAUAAAAGUUCACUUUUUCACAACUG
rnacentral:lncRNA from 1 species